AAAACGGUCCUUCUCAGGACCACCAAAUUCAAUUUACAUUUUUAAU
rnacentral:ncRNA from 1 species